GAGAGGCUAUGGCAAGGGUCCAUGCCUGAAUGUGUAGAGCAAGAACAGCUGGAGGCUGUGGCUUUCUCCAGGAAGAGGUUUCUAAAUUUGCCUCUCAGAAGAUAUCAGAAAGUUAAAGUUUCUCUUGCUGCCACCAUGUAAGAAAGACCUUUUUACCUCCCACCAUGAUUCUAAGGCCUCCCCAGCCACAUGGAACUGCUUUCAUUUGAUCUCUUUUUGAAUCAGAAGACCCAGAAAACUUGGAUCCACUUCUGGCUCUGAUCCCUCUGGGCAGUGUGAUUUGGAGUAAAGCAGCUAGGGCUUAGAAAGGCUGAGGAACUUGCAUGAGGCUAUCCAGCUACUGAGAGAUAAACUGGGGUGUGAAUUGAGAGAGCUUGACUCCUGAGGCUCCACCUGUGCCUAUAAUUCCAGCAUGACACCUGGUAAUGGGCACUCAGUAGACGCUUGUUGAUCUAAACUCAGCGUGUUUGUGUGUGUGUGUGUCUUCCUCUCACAUCCAAAGCUGUUAGCACUGAGGAAGUUGGGCA
rnacentral:lncRNA from 1 species